GCCAUUCGAUCGUAUUUAGAAGAUAGCCACCCACUCGGAAGGGAAAGCUACAGUGGCCGAAGAAGCUGUGAUCUUUCAAGCAGGGCGCUGCCACUGGAGCACAGAGGAGGGUAUACAGAAGACAGCACGGACUGGAAGAAAGACUGAUGAAGAGAAGUAACGGCAUGAUUGAGGUGAUGGAGAUGAACGGGAACACACGGAGAAGCUAGUAUCCUGCAGGAAGCCAAGAUGAGGAGAGUCUUUUUAAAAUAAUCCGUUGAAGGCAGGGUGAGUGGUGCCGGAGGACAGACCUC
rnacentral:sRNA from 1 species